GGGUCAAUGAUGACCAACCAAGGUCACGAAGAGAGAUGAUGACAUAAAAAGAAAAUCAUGCUCAACAGGAUUACGCUGAGGCCC